CGCGCUGCUCCUGUGUGCUACUUAAUAGCAAUGCUCGCGUAAUCAGCAGCGCAGCACUAGAGAAACGAUGCUUAUGGUUUCCAUUACUCAAGAUCAACAGUGAUGUGGAAGCAGACGAUUCUCUUUCAGACAGAAGUCAAAAGGCCAAUAGUAACGUAAUGCUAUAUCACAAUGUCUAUGUCAUUAACCUCACUUCAUUUAAUCAUGUAGGCAUUUUAUCAUCUCACAUCAUCCCAAGAAGAAGGGUGGAAGGGAUAUGAAUAUUGGUAUCCAGAGAGCAGAUUGUGGUGAUCUCCAAAACUGGCCAUUAUGGGUCCCUUGUCUUUGGAUCCCCUGAGAAGCCCACACACACUGCUUCUCAGGACAAGAACCCAGCUUCCAUACUGUGAGAAGCCAAAGCCAUGUGUAGGCACUUCAGUUGAGCCCUGAGCCAAUAGCCAGCAUCAACUCAGCCACUUGGUGAGUCAACUUGGCCUUCAGCCCAGCUAAGCCUCUGCAUGCCUCCGGCCCCAGCCACAGUCUGACUGCGGUCACGUGACAUCCCAAGUGAGGACAGCCACUGAGCCUGUCAGGACGCAGAACCAUCUGUGAUGAUAUGAUCUGUUUUAAGCUAAUAGGUUUUGAGGAGGUUUGACAUGAAAUAAUAGAUGGCAGGAACACCUGUUAUCAGAACCAACCAUUUUCCUCUGGUCCUUCCUUCCUUUUGCAAACAAAGGCAUGAUGUCUGCAGCUGGAAAAACCAUCUUGAGAACAUGAAGGAAAUACCAAGACAUUUUUAGAGACCCUGAGCCUGAAUUCCUUGAGCUAUAAAAGAAGCACCAGCAACCACAAACUUCCUGAGUUCAAGAUAUUAGAAAAAAGUCUUUUAUUUGGGUUUUGGAUCACAUGCAGCCAUGUUAACAAACUGAUACUCCAGGGAUGAGGUGAAUAUAUAAAAUGAUACCAUAAAGUGUUGUACUUUGCUAAACAGGGGCUACUGGUUCAGCUUUGAGUUUUGUGGACAAAGAAAAAGAAUCAGUAAUCCAAUUGCAAAAUUACUGGAGUACAUAAAAUAAAAAUCAAUCUAGCUGUUCAAUGGGAACACAGCAAUUUGAAGUAUUUCUCAUAGGUUCUUGUAAAAAAGAUUGGUGUGAUGUAGUAUACAACUUAUUCUCUGUCAAUCAGUUAAAUAAAACCUUGUCCUUCACAAUUUUAUACCUCUUCAGCAAAGGUAUAAUGCCAGAAAGUCCAAAACAAUUCUA